rnacentral:rRNA from 1 species
CCUACGUGAGGCAGCAGUGAGGAAUAUUGGUCAAUGGGCGCGAGCCUGAACCAGCCAAGUAGCGUGAAGGAUGACUGCCCUACGGGUUGUAAACUUCUUUUAUAAAGGAAUAAAGUGAGGCACGUGUGCCUUUUUGUAUGUACUUUAUGAAUAAGGAUCGGCUAACUCCGUGCCAGCAGCCGCGGUAAUACGGAGGAUCCGAGCGUUAUCCGGAUUUAUUGGGUUUAAAGGGAGCGUAGAUGGGUUGUUAAGUCAGUUGUGAAAGUUUGCGGCUCAACCGUAAAAUUGCAAGUGAUACUGGCAGUCUUGAGUACAGUUGAGGUAGGCGGAAUUCGUGGUGUAGCGGUGAAAUGCUUUGAUAUCACGAAGAACUCCGAUUGCGAAGGCAGCUUACUAAACUGCCACUGACAUUGAUGCUCGAAAGUGUGGGUAUCAAACAGGAUUAGAUACCCUAGUAGUC